UGCAAAUGUGUUAACAAUUGACAGUUAAGUAACUAAAUGGAUAUGUGCAUAAAUGCAUGAUGAAUUAAUUAACGAAUUAAUGUGUGAAUGAGACCAUGUGUAAAUAAAAAUGUCAAAAGAGAAUGAGUGAAUGAUAAUUGAGCGGGUCUGUGAGUCAAUGAGUGAAAGACUAGUAGUCCAAGAAGUAAGUGAAGGAUGAAUGCCAAAUGGAUGGGAGAAUGAAUAAGUGAAUCCCUGAAUGAGCUCCUGAAUUACUAGAGAAUUGAAAAUUAACUAGUAAUGAGGGAAUGAAUGAACCCGUGAGCCAAUGUAUGCAUCAGUUAGUGAGUAAGUAACCAAAUGAAUUAAUUAAUAAGCCAAAAACUGAGAGGGCGACGAAGUUCAUAAAUCAGUAAGAGAAGGAAGAAGUUGAAUAAUUUAACUAAUGAGUAAUAAAUAAGUCCACGAAUGAGACAAGUUAAUGAGCGGAUGCAUUAGCAAGUGGAUGGAGGGAUAGAGUGGAUAUUAGAGCAAGUGAACAAAAUAAUGAAUUAGUGAGUGAGUCACUGAGUCAGUGGAUGCGAAUGUAAUCCAAGAACAGCUUCACUGAAUGAAUGAGUAGACGGGGGAGUCGAGAAAUGAGUGAGUGAGUCAGUGAUCCAUGUGUGAGGCAGUGCAUGAGUGAGGUCACACUGGGAUCCCUUCCCCGACCGCUCCAGAGAGAGCUCGCCACACCCCAACCUCAUGGCACGCUGGAAAUGCCGGCACGUCGUAAACGGCUCCACUGGAGUGCCCAUUUUACUCCAGCAUGGGCACCGGUGUACAUGUCACCACUAAAUGCGUGUGCCCUGAGAGCCAGGAACUGGGUCACAUUCUUCUCCGGAUCCCCGGCGCCUGCCCAGCCUGGAGCCUAGGAGGUGCCUUGUAAAUUAUUGCUGAAUGAAUUAAUGAAUAACUAAAAAUACAUGUGCUUUUGUGGAACCAGGAUGGCCCUUCUCAGAACGGUCUGGGAACUGUUCUGUGGGUCAGAUGGUCUGUGGCAUCCUCCUACGCAAGUCCAGAUUCUCCCUUGGGUCCGGCUUCCGGGCUUCAGUGCCAGACAGUGAGACAGGAUACUGGCAGUUCUGACUGCCCUGGACCUUGGCCCAUCCUUGGGCAACGUUGGCUUGCCAUGGUGGAAUGGAAGUCCUGGGUCUUCCCGAAAGCUGCUCUCGCCGCUGCCAAGACUGGAGGUCGAAAAUAACCUGGUCUUGUUUUCAUGCCUCCAGCAAGUGGGCCAACUCCUUGCCUGUGCAAGCAAAAUGAGUUCCUCUGGUUGUCGUUGUAGGACUUUGGGUUAGACGUUAAGUGCCUCUGGACCUCCAGUCUCAGUAUCGCCUGUAGAUGAGGGUAACAGCUGUUACGGGAAUUAACCUUGUCUAACCGGAGCUUGUUAGAAGGUCCACACUCUGGUACCUGGGAGGGAAGAGAAGCCUCAGAAAUCACCUAAAGUACCUGUAAUCGAUGGUUUCAACUGUACUUAUUUGAAAGCUUCCAAAUGCUACCCAACUAAUCCCCAGUUUCCCCUGUCCCAGAAGAAUGGCAAGUCCAACAAAGUUCUGGAAGAAUGCCAGUUUGGUUGGGACCGGCCAGCCCGGACCAUGCACCUUUAAGGAAGCAGACCAUACCUUUCUGCCAGGGACAGAUGACAAGAAAAGGAAGAGCAGUUUGUGUCUUCGAAGUCACCAGAGCCCUACGAGUUUCGUGCUCCUGGUCUGUAAGAGAGAAGUCGUCUGCAGGGAGCCGGGGAGGAGUGCUUUCUUGAGCAUGAGUUUUCCCGAGGACACCUGUGAUGGGGGGAGCGCCCACUUCACUGGGAGGACUUCCCAAUGUGAUGCCAACCCGGAGGAAGACAGUGGUCCCAUGACAGCGCCAUGCCCCAGAAGACGAAGGACAAGUCUUUCCCCUGACCACUCUUCAGUAUCAAAUGCCACCUUGGGAGACUUCCCGCACAAGACGGGAGUGGUCGGCCACAGUCCUGGGGGAGCGAGCCAACACCUAGGCUUCCCUCGCUCUGCACGUCAUGUCUGACGCUGGUGCUCCUUGCCAGUCCUCCUCAGGAGGACUCCAUGAAGGCGAGGUCAACUUUCGGGAAAGGAGAUGGUUCUUGGCUGGCUCUAGAGCCAAGGCACAGAGGUAGGUUGCUGGCGGUGCGUUGGUUUAGAUGGCAGUAUGCCAUGACUCUUGGUUCCGGUCUCCUUCGCGGCAUUUGGGGAAGGGACAUGGGGUUCCUUAAGAAGGCCCAGGUCAUUUCCACCCAACGCCACUUUGUUUUUUGAGAGCCAGAACACAGGUGGUGGUGAUGGUGACCGGCACAACCCAGUCUUUCACAUGAGCUGACGCUCCAACGCCAUCCCAUCCACCUGGGAAGAGCCCCAUGCGUGAGAGAGAAAGGUGAGAGGUGGCAGGGGCACAC